CGGGGUGUAGCGCAGCUUGGUAGCGUAUCUGCUUUGGGAGCAGAGGGUCGCAGGUUCAAAUCCUGUCACCCCGACCA
rnacentral:tRNA from 1 species